AGGAGCUUGCUCCUUUGACGUUAGCGGCGGACGGGUGAGUAACACGUGGGUAACCUACCUAUAAGACUGGAAUAACUCCGGGAAACCGGGGCUAAUGCCGGAUAACAUGUUGAACCGCAUGGUUCUACAGUGAAAGACGGUCUUGCUGUCACUUAUAGAUGGACCCGCGCCGUAUUAGCUAGUUGGUGGGGUAACGGCCUACCAAGGCGACGAUACGUAGCCGACCUGAGAGGGUGAUCGGCCACACUGGAACUGAGACACGGUCCAGACUCCUACGGGAGGCAGCAGUAGGGAAUCUUCCGCAAUGGGCGAAAGCCUGACGGAGCAACGCCGCGUGAGUGAUGAAGGUCUUCGGAUCGUAAAGCUCUGUUGUUAGGGAAGAACAAAUGUGUAAGUAACUGUGCACAUCUUGACGGUACCUAACCAGAAAGCCACGGCUAACUACGUGCCAGCAGCCGCGGUAAUACGUAGGUGGCAAGCGUUAUCCGGAAUUAUUGGGCGUAAAGCGCGCGUAGGCGGUUUUUUAAGUCUGAUGUGAAAGCCCACGGCUCAACCGUGGAGGGUCAUUGGAAACUGGAAAACUUGAGUGCAGAAGAGGAAAGUGGAAUUCCAUGUGUAGCGGUGAAAUGCGCAGAGAUAUGGAGGAACACCAGUGGCGAAGGCGGCUUUCUGGUCUGCAACUGACGCUGAUGUGCGAAAGCGUGGGGAUCAAACAGGAUUAGAUACCCUGGUAGUCCACGCCGUAAACGAUGAGUGCUAAGUGUUAGGGGGUUUCCGCCCCUUAGUGCUGCAGCUAACGCAUUAAGCACUCCGCCUGGGGAGUACGGUCGCAAGACUGAAACUCAAAGGAAUUGACGGGGACCCGCACAAGCGGUGGAGCAUGUGGUUUAAUUCGAAGCAACGCGAAGAACCUUACCAAAUCUUGACAUCCUUUGACAACUCUAGAGAUAGAGCUUUCCUCUUCGGAGGACAAAGUGACAGGUGGUGCAUGGUUGUCGUCAGCUCGUGUCGUGAGAUGUUGGGUUAAGUCCCGCAACGAGCGCAACCCUUGAACUUAGUUGCCAUCAUUUAGUUGGGCACUCUAAGUUGACUGCCGGUGACAAACCGGAGGAAGGUGGGGAUGACGUCAAAUCAUCAUGCCCCUUAUGAUUUGGGCUACACACGUGCUACAAUGGACAAUACAAAGGG
rnacentral:rRNA from 1 species